CGAAAUGAAGCAAGGCAAAAGCGUGCUCAAGCCCUUGAACUGCCAGACAUGACACUCAGACGCAAGCUCCUCAGUGCUCGAGACAUGGCACAAAGAACUGUUAUUGGUCAGGAUCGAAUUGUGUAUAGUACUGAUCGAGAUUUAAUCGAGCAAAAUUAUGAGCUCCAAGAAUGGGAAAGGAAGUUUCGAGAGAUAGAAAAGUCAGAUUAGAG
rnacentral:misc_RNA from 1 species